rnacentral:rRNA from 1 species
CCUACGGGAGGCAGCAGUGGGGAAUCUUAGACAAUGGGGGCAACCCUGAUCUAGCCAUGCCGCGUGAGUGAUGAAGGCCUUAGGGUUGUAAAGCUCUUUCAGCUGGGAAGAUAAUGACGGUACCAGCAGAAGAAGCCCCGGCUAACUCCGUGCCAGCAGCCGCGGUAAUACGGAGGGGGCUAGCGUUGUUCGGAAUUACUGGGCGUAAAGCGCACGUAGGCGGACCGGAAAGUCAGAGGUGAAAUCCCAGGGCUCAACCUUGGAACUGCCUUUGAAACUAUCGGUCUGGAGUUCGAGAGAGGUGAGUGGAAUUCCGAGUGUAGAGGUGAAAUUCGUAGAUAUUCGGAGGAACACCAGUGGCGAAGGCGGCUCACUGGCUCGAUACUGACGCUGAGGUGCGAAAGCGUGGGGAGCAAACAGGAUUAGAUACCCGAGUAGUC